rnacentral:rRNA from 1 species
GAUGAACGCUGGCGGCGUGCCUAAUACAUGCAAGUCGAGCGAACAGACGAGGAGCUUGCUCCUCUGACGUUAGCGGCGGACGGGUGAGUAACACGUGGAUAACCUACCUAUAAGACUGGGAUAACUUCGGGAAACCGGAGCUAAUACCGGAUAAUAUAUUGAACCGCAUGGUUCAAUAGUGAAAGACGGUUUUGCUGUCACUUAUAGAUGGAUCCGCGCCGCAUUAGCUAGUUGGUAAGGUAACGGCUUACCAAGGCGACGAUGCGUAGCCGACCUGAGAGGGUGUCCGGCCACACUGGACCUGAGACCCGGUCCAGCCUCCUACGGGAGGCAGCAGUAGGGAAUCUCCCGCAGUGGGCGAAAGCCUGACGGAGCACCGCCGCGGGAGUGAUGAAGGUCUUCGGAUCGUAAAACUCUGUUAUUAGGGAAAAACAAAUGUGUAAGUAACUAUGCACGUCUUGACGGUACCUAAUCAGAAAGCCACGGCUAACUACGUG